rnacentral:rRNA from 1 species
AACGAACGCUGGCGGCAGGCCUAACACAUGCAAGUCGAGCGAAGCCUUCGGGCUUAGCGGCGGACGGGUGAGUAACGCGUGGGAACGUGCCCUUUGCUACGGAAUAGCCCCGGGAAACUGGGAGUAAUACCGUAUGUGCCCUUCGGGGGAAAGAUUUAUCGGCAAAGGAUCGGCCCGCGUUGGAUUAGGUAGUUGGUGGGGUAAUGGCCUACCAAGCCGACGAUCCAUAGCUGGUUUGAGAGGAUGAUCAGCCACACUGGGACUGAGACACGGCCCAGACUCCUACGGGAGGCAGCAGUGGGGAAUCUUAGACAAUGGGGGAAACCCUGAUCUAGCCAUGCCGCGUGAUCGAUGAAGGCCUUAGGGUUGUAAGGAUCUUUCAGUGGGGAAGAUGAUGACUGUACCCACAGAAGAAGCCCCGGCUAACUCCGUGCCAGCCGCCGCCGUAAAAC